CCCAGGGCAGGAGGAGGACGCCAUAAAAUGCUGCACUUCUGUUUGAGGUUCCCUAACCCAGCUGCAGCGCUCCGCGGAGCUUCUCGGGUGGCUGGGCCGCUUUGAAGGUUUACUUUCAAUUAAAAAAAAAAAAUAAAGUAAAAUAAAAUAAGAAGAAAAGAAGCCAAAUCAGCAGCUGUCAGGGACGCGGGGAAGAUUUAUUCAGGGCGGUCAAAGGGGAGCGUGGCCGGCAGUCAGGGCUGCAGGCCAACUGAAGCCAAUACUUAGGAACCAACAGUCUAAGGAAUGUUCUGACAAUGAUACCAGUGGUGUUGGCCUAAAUUUAAAAUGAGCUAGUAAGUAUUUUAAAUUUUUUAAAUAUGUAUUUAAAAAUACAUAAAAUUUA
rnacentral:lncRNA from 1 species